AUUGAACGCUGGCGGCAGGCCUAACACAUGCAAGUCGAGCGAGCGGCGGACGGGUGAGUAAUGUCUGGGAAACUGCCUGAUGGAGGGGGAUAACUACUGGAAACGGUAGCUAAUACCGCAUACUAUCAGAUGUGCUCAGAUGGGAUUAGCUAGUAGGUGGGGUAAUGGCUCACCUAGGCGACGAUCCCUAGCUGGUCCGAGAGGAUGACCAGCCACACUGGGACUGAGACACGGUCCAGACUCCUACGGGAGGCAGCAGUGGGGAAUCUUGCACAAUGGGCGCAAGCCUGAUGCAGCCAUGCCGCGUGUGUGAAGAAGGCCUUCGGGUUGUAAAGCACUUUCAGCGGGGAAGCGUUACGCGCAGAAGAAGCACCGGCUAACUCCGUGCCAGCAGCCGCGGUAAUAC
rnacentral:rRNA from 1 species